UACGUAGGGGGCUAGCGUUAUCCGGAUUCAUUGGGCGUAAAGCGCGCGUAGGCGGGCUGUUAAGUCAGAUGUGAAAACCGGGGGCUCAACCCGCGGCCUGCAUCUGAAACUGGCAGCCUCGAGUCUGGUAGAGGAAAGUGGAAUUCCCAGUGUAGCGGUGAAAUGCGCAGAUAUUGGGAGGAACACCAGUGGCGAAGGCGGCUUUCUGGGCCACGACUGACGCUGAGGCGCGAAAGCUAGGGGAGCAAACAGG
rnacentral:rRNA from 1 species